rnacentral:rRNA from 1 species
CCUACGGGAGGCAGCAGUGGGGAAUAUUGGACAAUGGGGGGAACCCUGAUCCAGCCAUGCCGCGUGUGUGAAGAAGGCCCUCGGGUUGUAAAGCACUUUCAGUGAGGAAGAACGCCUGGUGGUUAAUACCCAUCAGGAAAGACAUCACUCACAGAAGAAGCACCGGCUAACUCCGUGCCAGCAGCCGCGGUAAUACGGAGGGUGCGAGCGUUAAUCGGAAUUACUGGGCGUAAAGCGCGCGUAGGUGGCUUGAUAAGCCGGUUGUGAAAGCCCCGGGCUCAACCUGGGAACGGCAUCCGGAACUGUCAAGCUAGAGUGCAGGAGAGGAAGGUAGAAUUCCCGGUGUAGCGGUGAAAUGCGUAGAGAUCGGGAGGAAUACCAGUGGCGAAGGCGGCCUUCUGGACUGACACUGACACUGAGGUGCGAAAGCGUGGGUAGCAAACAGGAUUAGAUACCCGGGUAGU